UACGUAGGGCGCAAGCGUUGUCCGGAAUUAUUGGGCGUAAAGAGCUCGUAGGCGGCUUGUCACGUCGGUUGUGAAAGCCCGGGGCUUAACCCCGGGUCUGCAGUCGAUACGGGCAGGCUAGAGUGUGGUAGGGGAGAUCGGAAUUCCUGGUGUAGCGGUGAAAUGCGCAGGUAUCAGGAGGAACACCGGUGGCGAAGGCGGAUCUCUGGGCCAUUACUGACGCUGAGGAGCGAAAGCGUGGGGAGCGAACAGG
rnacentral:rRNA from 1 species